GUUCUGAUUCCCGGCCCCCCGCCUCUUCCUCGCUCCUCCUCUCCGCGGCGCUCGAGACGAAACCGCACGUCUGCUGCCACGUAAUCCCGUUGAGAGCGGCGCACGAGCUCCGCAGAAACAAACGCUCGAGCACAAACCGACACUUGAAGAAGUUAAAAACAACCGGACGGCCCACACACACACACACACACACACACACACCGUCUGCUGACUGGCGUUAAAUAUCCGGCGACUGUUACAGACUCACGAGGUGGAGGUUAUGUGGAGUGGCCGCAAACCGGCCUCUGUGACCGAGCUGUUACUAUAGAAACGGAUCUAGGAGUAUACGCUGUAUACAUGCGCACUUAAAAAGGGCAAACGACCCGGAGUGUGAAAUUUACCUGCUCCUGUAAACGACUCUGCACACGUGUGUCUGUGUGUGUGUGUGUGUGUGUGUGUGUGUGUGAGGACUUGCAGAUGCCAUGCGCCAGCUGAAGGGCAAGCCGAAAAAAGAGUCAUGGAAGGACAAGAAGGAACGAAAGCAGGCGAUGCAGGAGGCACGUGAGCAGGUGGCCACCGUUGUCCUGCCCACGCUCGCCGUCCUCAUCCUCCUCAUUGUCCUUUUCAUCUACGUCGCCACCCGUCCCGGAGCCGUCCAGUAGCCAUCCCUUCCUUUUUCCCGCUCUUUUUCUAUACCUAGCUAUUUAUAUCCGGGGCGUCACUGUCCUGCUUUUAACUUUCCCUCGUCCACUUUUCAGUCUGCAUUAUCAAACUAACUAGUUACUGGUUACCCAGUUGAAAUGUGGGUAAUAUGGCACAUUGGUCCCAUAAUGCACCACAGGGUGCAGUGCAAUGUCAAUUCCCAAGGAAACAGGUGCCAAGUAUCCUACAUCCUAUUCUAGACAGGGUAUGAUAUUAUGAUGCCUACACCCUAUGUAGCACACAUGCCAGCUAAAGAGCAAGCCAGUAUGGCUGAUCAGUCCCUACAAUGCUCCGUGUCCCUUCUUUAGCGUAAUACUUAAUGUUAAAGCUAACAUGUUGUUCAUGCUAUGUUAGCUAGCAUACAUGCUAAUUAGCAAUGCGGUAUAUACAGUAGAAACAAUACAAGGGUACAUUUAAAAGCAGGACUUGAACACAGAGGACUUGAACACUUAAUAGCAUUUAAUUCUCUAUGGGAAUAGCUUUCUGCUCUCGCUGCUCACUCCGUGUUUAGUGGUGCAGGGGCAGGUGGCGACGACGAGGGCACACGAAACAGCCCUGGAACACGACCCCUGCUCCUUUUCUUCCCUCUUAACCCAUGGAUGUUCAUAUCAACCGAGUCAAAUCAAGCAGGACCAUUUUACACCAGUCCCCACACAGCUAAGUGAUACAGGAGUUUCUCGGAGCGUGAACCCAAUGCCUGGUGGUGGCCAUGUUGGCUCUGUACUGUGUUUACAAGCAUCUCAGUUUUAUGCCAAAGCAACAGAGAUUCAGGAAUUGAAUCAGGACCUGUGAUGAAGGUUCAACAUCAGGACUGAACCCAAUCAUGCAUACACACACACACACACACAUACACACUCACUCACACACACACACACACACACACACACACACACACACACACACACACUCACACACACACACAGAGUAUUAUUCAUAGUCAACUUAAGGAAAAACCAUCAACAGCAUUUACAGUUCUGAUGUAUGUUAAAAGGUUCUUUUUAAUUCAUAUAGCAAGCUACAACCUAUAAGUUAUUUCCCUAAUUUAACACACUCCUAAUUUAUGCCUGCGUCCCAAAAUCUAUUUCGUGCAACCGUUAGUGUUUUCUAGCAUAAAACUUUUUUUUAACUAAAACGUUAACUUUAUCACAUGGAACAAAAUUAGGUUUACUAUCAACAACAAAGUUAGCAUUACGCUCCGUAUUAUUAAUUGACCUUUACUAUCUUCAACAUACUCUGUUAAUAUGUGUUUAGCUUAGAGCGCUAAUCUCGUAUGCUAAUUCACCAAAAAGCGUCCGGUUUGUCUUCUUAACAGGGCUGUGUUCUUAUUUUGGAACCCCAAAAUCUUAAAUCACACCUUAGUGUUUUUGAGUAAAUUAAAUCAUCAACGUUUGGGGGACAGCCUGUGUGUAAAGUGUGUUUAUGUUAGCAUCAGAGCUACUCUCUGAGCAUCAGGGGAAACUCACUGCGUCCUUUCUGUAGCAGUAUUCGUAUAUACACCCAAAUUUUCCUUUGUUUGUAAUCUAAUACAAACGCUGCUUUUACAUGAUAACAUUAGAUUCUUUGGGGAAGUCAUAUUAAUGUUUGAAGAACAAUAUUCUGUUGAAUGUUUGGCUGCCUAAUGAAUUUGGUGUAUUAGAAAAGACCCCAUUCCAUCGUCCUAAUGUUAACUCAUUAACAUAACUCGUUAAAACGUCUGUUGUCAAAUUAUGUUAUGUUCGUUUGUAGCAUUUGUGUAUUAUUUCUGUGCAAAAGUGGACCUAUGAACCAAAUCUGAAAUCAGUGUGCCUUAAUGAUGUGUUACACACACACACACACACACACACACACACACACACACACACACACACACACACACACACACACACAGAGUAGCAACAGAUCCUUCAGCUGGCCUUCAGUUAGCAAUGUGCCUUAGGAAACUAUAAAACUGUAAUAAAAUGACUGAAUUCUUUGUGUGAA